CCUACGGGUGGCUGCAGUGGGGAAUUUUGGACAAUGGGGGCAACCCUGAUCCAGCCAUGCCGCGUGCGGGAAGAAGGCCUUCGGGUUGUAAACCGCUUUUGUCAGGGAAGAAAUCUUCCGAGCUAAUACCUUGGGAGGAUGACGGUACCUGAAGAAUAAGCACCGGCUAACUACGUGCCAGCAGCCGCGGUAAUACGUAGGGUGCAAGCGUUGAUCGGAAUUUCUGGGGGUGGUGGUGCAAGAGGGGGGUGAAAUCCCCGGGCUUAACCUGGGAACUGCACUUGUGACUGUACGGCUGGAGUACGGCAGAGGGAGAUGGAAUGCCGCGUGUAGCGGUGAAAUGCGUAGAUAUGCGGAGGAACACCGAUGGCGAAGGCAGUCCCCUGGGCCUGUACUGACGCUCAUGCACGAAAGCGUGGGGAGCAAACAGGAUUAGAUACCCCGGUAGUC
rnacentral:rRNA from 1 species